AAAUUGAAGAGUUUGAUCAUGGCUCAGAUUGAACGCUGGCGGCAGGCCUAACACAUGCAAGUCGAACGGUAACAGGAAGCAGCUUGCUGCUUCGCUGACGAGUGGCGGACGGGUGAGUAAUGUCUGGGAAGCUGCCUGAUGGAGGGGGAUAACUACUGGAAACGGUAGCUAAUACCGCAUAAUGUCGCAAGACCAAAGAGGGGGACCUUCGGGCCUCUUGCCAUCGGAUGUGCCCAGAUGGGAUUAGCUUGUUGGUGGGGUAACGGCUCACCAAGGCGACGAUCCCUAGCUGGUCUGAGAGGAUGACCAGCCACACUGGAACUGAGACACGGUCCAGACUCCUACGGGAGGCAGCAGUGGGGAAUAUUGCACAAUGGGCGCAAGCCUGAUGCAGCCAUGC
rnacentral:rRNA from 1 species